AAAGGAAUCAGUCCUGAAUGCCUAGGUCUUCCCAUUCAGUGAUCAGCACAGAAAACAAAUACACAAUGAAUUUGGUGCUUAUUUGGGUUUUCCUUGUUGCUUCUUUAAAAGGUGUCCAGUCUGACGUGAAACUUGUGGAGUCUGGGGGAGGCCUGGUGAAGCCUGGAGGAUCCCUGAGACUAUCCUGUGUAGCCUCUGGAUUCACUUUCAGUGAUAACUGGAUGCACUGGUUUCGCCAAGCUCCAGAGAAAAGGCUGGAGUGGGUUGGAAAUAUUAAUAAAGACAGCAGUACAACAAACUAUGCACCAUCUGUGAAGGAUCGAUUCACCAUCUCCAGAGACAAUGCCAAGAACACUCUGUACCUGCAAAUCAACAGUGUGAGAUCUGAGGACACAGCCACUUAUUACUGUGCUAGAGACACAGUGAUGGAACUUCAGUGUUAA